UAUAUAUAUAUAUAUAUAUAUAUAUAUAUAUAUAUAUAUAUAUAUAUAUAUAUAUUCUCUCUUGCAGUACCAGACAGUGAGCCGACCAAUCCAACAGAUCCGCCGACAGAGGCACCAGUCCCCCCGACCGACACCCCUUACGGAGGAGGUGGGCUUAGUGGCGGCGCAAUAUUCGGCAUUGUUAUAGCUGUCAUGUUCGUCUUCGCUGCGGUUGGGUUCGUAGGAGUUUCGUUCAUCAAAAGGAAAAGCGGCACCUCCGGAGGAUUUAGUCCUAGUCAACGAGGUGCUGCAGUCGUUAACCUCUCCCCCAUCACGAGGAGAAGGGGUCAGCUGUGGCGUACUUCAACCCCACCGAUGCAACCGACGCUUAAGAUUAACCUACGAUCAAUUCUGGGGUUUUAUUAACUAUUUCCACGAAUAGUCGCUGUUCAUUGUGUUGGUCAGUCAUCAAUGACUUUGGAAUUUAGUCUUUGAUCUCAGUGACUUAAAUAUAUAUAUAUAUAUAUAUAUAUAUAUAUAUAUAUAUAUAUAUAUAUAUAUAUAUAUAUAUAUAUAUA